rnacentral:tRNA from 1 species
GGGUCUGUGAUCUAGCGGCUAUGAUGCCUCUUUGACGUAGAGGAUGUCCUCGGUUCAAAUCCGAGCAGANNUGUGGUAAUCCGAGCAGACCCA